AGUCUUGCCUGCAGGAGGCCCAUUUCAGUGUGGUGGGGGAUGAGGGCUGACCAGGAUACUGUUGAAAAUGCACAGUGUUAUGGACAACCAGGCUCCCUGCACUCUGUUCUCUUCAACAGGGGGAUUUGGUUUCCUUUCCAUCCAUUACCUCUCCUCCUGGCUCAAUAACUCCUUCAGCCAUUAGAAAUCAUUCCUGUCUUGGAAUCUUCUGUCUUGCCCACCUCUUAUCUUCCAGUUCUUGUAUCUGAGUCCUUGACUUCUCCCUUGUCCUUAAUAGUUCAAUUUGAUGACCUGUCCAUGUCCUAUUUCCUGCAAGACCAACCCCUGUUUUGCUUUCUCCAGGCUCCCAAGUGCUGGAGGUUUGGCUCAGACCUCCAGGCCUGUGAAUGUGGCUUGCUGUCAAACCUGCCAUGUUGAUGGAACACCUGCUUUUAUAUCUUCACUCAUUUGAUGCACAUGUAUGGAGCCAAGAGAACACUUAUCAUGUGCCAGGUACUGUGUUAGAUGCUGAGGAUACAGAGACCCACAAGAAUCAGUCCCUUUCAAAAAAGAACUCAUGAUCCACUGGGAAGAAACAAAUCAGCAAUUACAGCACAAUGGAUGGAGUGGCAUGACAGUUGUGAACACGCAGCACUAUUGGAGCAGAGAGGAGGACGAUCUUAAAUCAGAUGGGGUGUGUGCAGGUGGUCUCUCUGCGUGUCUCUGUCUUCAUGUGGUGCUUUCUUCUUCUUACAAGGACAUCAGUCAUGCUGGAUUAGUUCCCACCACUACUCUCUGGGACCCCCAAAUCAGAAUUGUCUAUUUGAAGUCUGCUGCUAUGCUAGCUCACCUUGACUGCAAGGCUCCUGACAGCAGGGAUUACUGUGUAAUCUGGGCCAGGCACAUAGUAGGCCCUCAAUACA